UUUCGUUACAAAAUAUAGUAUCACAGAGAAUUAUAAAAAAGUUAUACUAAUUAUACAUAUAUAUGUUUAUAUGAUCUUAAUUCCUCUACCUUUUUAAACUUCUGCAUGCAGGUCCCUUUAAAAAUUCCUUAGUCUGACAGUUGGCAGUUAGUCAAUGCUGAACCAACUUCCUGUGAAAGGACAUUAUUUUGCAUGUCCUUUGAGACUGGAUAAUUAAUGUGCACUGGUUCCAUUCUGAGCACCAAUCACAUGGAUAUGAAAAUUCAUGAACAAGCUUUAUCAGCAAACAUUACCAAUUGGAGGACUGCCUUGUCUCUAGCUUGAAUACAUACUCCACCCCCAUCUUUGAGAGGAUCCAGCUUCCAGUAAAGAACCUCGAGCCUAGACAGCUGUUCCAGGCAGACCAGGUGGCCUGGCUGCACACUGUCGUUGGCGGACUCAUCCCUGUACCAGGCCUGCACCAUGGCCAGAGCUGGGCCAGGACCCCAUGAGCACCUGCAUGCACGGCCUGCCCCAUCUUGCUGACCCUGCACUGCCAGCCCGAGGAAGAGCCCAUCUUUUACCUGUGCCCCAGAGAGGACAUCAAAAAGUACUGUUGGUGAUCUGGGCCUUCUGGUUUACUGACAACCAGUUCCAAGAGAAAAGAAAGCAGCAAGGCUACUGAACAGAUACCUGGCACGGUGCAUAAAUCCUGAGCAGUGAGCUUUGUGAUGACCUCUAAUCCCAUGGUAGCCGUCAAUGUCAUCCAUUCUCAAGGAAAGCUAGCAUUCUUACGCUUCAUUAGUGAAAACUGGAUUACCUAAUAUCCUGAAUUUUCUGCAUCCUGAAUGUCACAUUCAAGUUUUUGGCCCAGAGGAUC
rnacentral:lncRNA from 1 species